AUGUCGGUGGCUGGCGGCACCAUAGCGACGGGAACUGAUAGGGCGGCCACCCAAACAAUGGGUCAGUCAGCAAGUCCAGGUGUAGAUGCUCUUAGUACCCACCACCACCACCACCACCACGGCUGUCUUGAUUGCUCAAGACAUGAUUAUUUCAGCAACAAUCUUCAUCAUAGCUCCGCCACUAUUUUCUCUGAUGAGAAAAGAGGUUGCACACCAAGCAACAUGACCAUGAUAUUUCUUUACAGAGGGAGUACACAUCACAUUCAUGCAUGCGUGCAAACAUGGAGCAAUCAGGCUCAGGAGCUGCUCAUACCUGGCGUCAGCCGACCAAACCUCCCAGCGCGGAACACGCAUCAGGACAACAACACCGUACGGUUCCAAGCCCACGCCACAACCAAAUCCAAGCCGAUUGAGCGGCAGUGGCUGGCGGCGCUGUAG
rnacentral:rRNA from 1 species